GCCUAGGUGGCUUAGUUGGUUAAGUGUCUGACUUUGGUUCAGGUCAUGAUCUCAUGGUUUGUGGGUUUGGGUCCCACAUCAGGCU
rnacentral:tRNA from 1 species